AGUAAAAUAUUUUAAAAAAAAAGUUAAGUUUGCAUCUUAAAAUUAGAGUGGUCUCUUUUUACUG
rnacentral:tRNA from 1 species